UUUGCAAUAUCUAUAAAGAUUUUGUCUUGGUCUAUAGUUUAUAUGUUUCAAUUCUACGUUAAUAUGUCAAACACCUAAGAUAGAAAAAUAGAUCGUAUAAUAUCACAAGGAGUUCUUAUAAAAAAAAACCAUAGACUUAUCAUAUUAUAUUAUUAUAAUAUUCGUCAUCUGUGGCAUACGACAAUCGACGACAUUCGUCGAAGACGAUUAACAAUUCUAUAAUAGUCUUAAUGAACAGUCGUUAAACAACAGUCUUCAGUACAUGACAAAAUCAUGAUGAAGAUUGUAUGAACAAAAUUUGGAGUUUCUUCCGCGGCGGUGCACCACUCCGUAAACACUGUAGAUUGGUACAACUCGGUUUCCCGGGAAGAGUCGACGCUUAAAUCUUGCCAUAAUAUCGGAAAAACAAAAAAACUGAAAUAAUUACGCUAUAUCCUUAUAUAAUGUCAACCCGGAGGACGAUUGGCAGUAUCAUUAGCAAGCUGAUGAAUAACAAAAAAAAGUGUCGCAGGGCUGUGUUUGUUUAAUACUAUAAUUUUUUGAACAGUAGUACAGUAUAUUAUGAAUAUUUACUUAAAUUAUAUUUAAUUUUUAUGGUUUUUUUCAGAUAAUAUACUGUACUACGGUUUUAGGUGUUCUUUUUAUUUUGAUAAUACAUUGAAAAAUUACCAAUUUUUUCAAUUUUUUUUUCUUAUCACAAAGCAAGUUCGUCUUUGUGUAUGUUUAAAUUUAUAUUUUUUAUAGUUAUUGUGCUGUUUAACUUUCUUAUAAAAGAGAGUGAGUAAUUAAAAAGGUGGCCACCGAACAGAAAGUUAAACCGCAAUAUACUAUAAUCUUUUUAGUUCUUGUUUACAUUUUUAACUGAUAAAUUAUGAAUAUAAAAUUUCAAAUUAAUUUAAAUUCAAAAAUAAAAGAACACCAACAUAGAUUUCUUAAACAUUGAAAUUUUACUAUAAGUUUAAAUUACAUUUAAUCUACACAUUAGUUGAAGUUUUAUAGGAACCGAACAUUUGGCUGGAUCAUGGACUACCCACCGACGGAGAAUUUGUCAUUGAGCUGAUGGGAAAUGUGUCGGCACUCGGCUUCGUUUCAACCUGGAGGAAGAUUGGCAGCAGCAAAAAGAAAUUCAACUGAUAAUCAACUGUCUAAAUGAAGAAGAAUUUGUCACAAAGCUGAUGGGAAAUGUGUCAGCACUCGGCUUCGUUUCAACCCGGAGGAAGAUUGGCAGCAGCAAAAAGAAAUUCAACUGAUGAUCAACUGCCCAAAGGAUUUGUUGUGAAGAAGAAUUUGUCAUUGAGCUGAUGGGAAAUGUGUCGGCACUCGGCUUCGUUUCAACCUGGAGGAAGAUUGGCAGCAGCAAAAAGAAAUUCAACUGAUAAUCAACUGUCCAAAUGAAGAAGAAUUUGUCACAAAGCUGAUGGGAAAUGUGUCAGCACUCGGCUUCGUUUCAACCCGGAGGAAGAUUGGCAGCAGCAAAAAGAAAUUCAACUGAUAAUCAACUGUCCAAAUGAAGAAGAAUUUGUCAUUGAGCUGAUGGAAAAUGUGUCGGCACUCGGCUUCGUUUCAACCUGGAGGAAGAUUAGCAUCAUCAAUAGACGUUCAUCUUAAUGUCAACUGUUGAAAGGAUUUGUUUGCAUUAUAAUAUAAGUUUAAAAUACAUUUAAUCUGCAUAUUAUUUGAAGUUUAAUAGGAACGGAAUAUUUAACUGGAUCAUGGACGACUAUCCACCGACGAAGAAUUUGUCAUAGAGCUGAUGGAAAAUGUGUCGGCACUCGGCUUCGUUUCAACACAGAGGACGUCUGACAGCAGCAAAAAGAAAUUCAACUGAUGAUAAUCAACUGUCGAAAGGAUUUGUUGUGAAGAAGAAUUUGUCAUUAAGCUGAUGGGAAAUGUGUCGGCACUCGGCUGUAUUUCAACACGGAGGACGUCUGGCAGCAGCAAAAAGAAAUUCAACUGAUGAUCAACUGCCCAAAGGAUUUGUUGUGAAGAAGAAUUUGUCAUUAAGCUGAUGGGAAAUGUGUCGGCACUCGGCUGUAUUUCAACACGGAGGACGUCUGGCAGCAGCAAAAAGAAAUUCAACUGAUGAUCAAUUGCCCAAAGGAUUUGUUGUGAAGAAGAAUUUGUCAUUAAACUGAUGGGAAAUGUGUCGGCACUCGGCUGUAUUUCAACACGGAGAACGUCUGGCAGCAGCAAAAAGAAAUUCAACUGAUGAUCAACUGCCCAAAGGAUUUGUUGUGAAGAAGAAUUUGUCAUUAAGCUGAUAGGAAAUGUGUCGGCACUCGGCUGUAUUUCAACACGGAGGACAUCUGGCAGCAGCAAAAAGAAAUUCAACUGAUGAUCAACUGCCCAAAGGAUUUGUUGUGAAGAAGAAUUUGUCAUUAAGCUGAUGGGAAAUGUGUCGGCACUCGGCUGUAUUUCAACACGGAGGACGUCUGGCAGCAGCAAAAAGAAAUUCAACUGAUGAUCAACUGCCCAAAGGAUUUGUUGUGAAGAAGAAUUUGUCAUUGAGCUGAUGGAAAAUGUGUCGGCACUCGGCAGUAUUUCAACACGGAGGACGUCUAGCAGCAGCAAAAAGAAAUUCAACUGAUGAUCAACUGCGAAAAAGUAUUUGUUUUGAAGAAGAAGUUGUCACAAAGCUGAUGGGAAAAGUGUCGGCACUCGGCUUCGUUUCAACCUGGAGGAAGAUUGGCAGAAUUAUAGUUUAAGUUUUCCCCUUACGCAUUAGCGCUGAUCUCUCAUCCACUCAUCCAACACAUUGACUAUCGCCGGCCGGCAACACACACAUAUUAUACACAUUACCCGUUUUAUAUUAUAUAGAAUUAUUAAUAUCUACACAUAGUUUAAGUUAUUGUAUAUUUUUUUUUUUAUUAUUUGAAUGCAUUUAUAUGAUCAGUUGCGUAUUUAGAAAUUGUAUGAUAAGGGCAACACAUAUUUUGUUGCCUCCCUCCCAUUAAAAAAAAAAUUAAAAUGCCUCACAUUGGUCAAACUGUUAAUACCAUAGAAUACCAUGUUAUAUACUUAUAUAAACAUUAUAGUAUUUUACACCUCUAUGGCACACAUUUGUUGUGAAAAAUAUUAAUGAUUGACGUCACUGCGCCAGUACUCAUAAAGUACGAAAUAAAAAUUUGCUGCCCCUCUAAAUCUUUAAAAAUACGCCCCUGCAUAUAAUGCGUUCUCGCUUACGAUGUGGAUUAGGCCUACUGGGGACACCACAAUAAAAAAACGCGCCUCGUGUAAUACCUCAUAAAGUUAUUAAACAAUACGG